rnacentral:tRNA from 1 species
GGACUCUAUAGCUCAGCUGGUUAGAGCGCACGCCUGAUAAGCGUGAGGUCGGUGGUUCGAGUCCACUUAGAGUCCACCA